rnacentral:lncRNA from 1 species
AUCAUAUUCAAAAACUAUUCACAAAACAUAUGCUAUCUGGAAUUCACUUUAAAAUAAUCUAGACAGCAGUCGUUAUACAUAUGCCUUUCUAAAAGAGGGAGGAGAUCAAAGAACAGGAAUGACAGAAAGUUGAUCAUUAUGAGGUGGGAUGAAAACUACGAGGGAAAUCACUGUACUGUUUUCUCCACUUUUAGGUGUACUCAAGUGUUUGUAUGGCUCAAAGGGUUUUUACCAUUAUUAAUUGUGAGUCUUUCGUACCCACUGCAGAGAUUACUAAGCUUUAUUGGAGUGAUUACUCACUAUAUCCCAGCACUGUUUGUGGCCCUUCAUACUCAUGGGCUGCUCUUGGCGAGCCAGCUGGGUAGGAGGUGGUACCAGUCCUGAUUUGAUGUCAGAGGAAACUGGGAUCCAAAGAAAGAAGCAACUUGGUCAAAGACUGAAGGUAGACAUAGAAAAAAGGUUUCCUACACAGGACAAGAAACCAGCAAUUUUUCUUGGGGCAACUGCCAAAGACAAAGAUCUAAAAUUUUCAGAAGCAUCCACUGUUUCCACUGGCCUUUGUGGCCACCUCAAAGGCAGCUACGAGGCAGAAAUACAGGGCCAAUGUUAGCUCCACUCAUGUACCUCAGCCCUUCUACCUCAGUUGGGCCAGCAAACAGCAGUCUGCGCAUCAAUCAGGGUACCUCUGCCCCAGGAUGAGCGGGAAGCAGUCACAACGCCUAAGGUGAUGAGAACAGCUAAUGACUCAGACGGCUAAACCCUCCCGGGUUCCAGAGUCAUUGCACAGACCCAGGAAACCUGAAGUCACCCAGAGAAUUAAGUCUUCUGUCACCUCACCCGUGUGUUUUCACAAAAAAAGCAACAAACUAAAUUUCUCUUACUUAUUCCUUCUUCGUUU